GCGUUUGAUUAGCAUUCAGCAGUUCAGCACUGUUUUUCACGGUUUUACAAGAUCAUAAAAUAAGAAGUUAAAAUGUAUCACCAAUCUCACAUCAAAGAAGAAUUAUGAAACUUGAGUAAGAGCACAAGCAAACAUGCCAGCGCAGAACAUCUAGUUCUUCUGUAAUUGAAAAGCAAAUAAUAAAAAUGCACGAGAAUGAAACCUUUCACCAUUCAAUCUUCUAGUCUCCCGAGUUCAUGACAAAAGAAAUUACUUUUUCACUUGGACAGUAAUUUCUACAGCCAACUAAGGUCAUUACUGUGCAUAAAUAAGCAAUGCAGGACGCAAACCAAUAGGUAAAUUGGUUUCUUCACAGCACGUCACUUGCAUCCUUUGCCCUUCUCAUAAGAACAGGUAAAAACACAAUUAAACAUUCAGGUUUGUCUCCACAGGAUCAAUGACCUCUCUGUAC
rnacentral:misc_RNA from 1 species